AGCGAACGCUGGCGGCAGGCCUAACACAUGCAAGUCGAACGAACCUUUCGGGGUUAGUGGCGGACGGGUGAGUAACACGUGGGAACGUGCCUUUAGGUUCGGAAUAACUCAGGGAAACUUGUGCUAAUACCGAAUGUGCCCUUCGGGGGAAAGAUUUAUCGCCUUUAGAGCGGCCCGCGUCUGAUUAGCUAGUUGGUUGAGGUAAUGGCUCACCAAGGCGACGAUCAGUAGCUGGUCUGAGAGGAUGAUCAGCCACAUUGGGACUGAGACACGGCCCAGACUCCUACGGGAGGCAGCAGUGGGGAAUCUUGCGCAAUGGGCGAAAGCCUGACGCAGCCAUGCCGCGUGAAUGAUGAAGGUCUUAGGAUUGUAAAAUUCUUUCACCGGGGACGGUAAUGACGGUACCCGGUGAAGAAGCCCCGGCUAACUUCGUG
rnacentral:rRNA from 1 species